GAGUUUGAUCUUGGCUCAGGACGAACGCUGGCGGCGUGGAUUAGGCAUGCAAGUCGCGCGACGGUACGGGUUCGCCCGUAUACGGAGCGGCGAACGGGUGAGUAACACGUGAACAAUCUGUCCCUACAUUCCGGAUAAUUGGCCGAAAGGCCUUGUAAUACGGGGGAGGGUCGCGUUGAGGCAUCUCAGUGCGAAGGAAGGCGCAGGCCGUGCAGGGAGGAGUUCGCGGAUUAUCAGCUUGUUGGUGGGGUAACGGCCUACCAAGGCGACGACGAUUAGCUGGUCUGAGAGGAUGGUCAGCCACAUUGGAACUGAGACACUGUCCAGACUCCUACGGGAGGCUGCAGUCGAGAAUCUUGGGCAAUGCACGAAAGUGUGACCCAGCGACGCCGCGUGGAGGAUGAAGGACCUUGGUUCGUAACUCCUUUUAUGAGAGAAGAACGCCCCUUUGGGGUUUGACGGUAUCUCAUGAAUAAGCCACGGCUAACUACGUGCCAGCAGCCGCGGUAAC
rnacentral:rRNA from 1 species